UACGGAGGGUGCAAGCGUUAUCCGGAAUCACUGGGUUUAAAGGGUGCGUAGGCGGCUUGGUAAGUCAGAGGUGAAAGCCCGCAGCUUAACUGCGGAACUGCCUUUGAUACUGCCGAGCUUGAAAGAGGUUGAGGUCAGCGGAACGUGACAUGUAGCGGUGAAAUGCAUAGAUAUGUCACAGAACACCAAUUGCGAAGGCAGCUGGCUGGGCCUACGUUGACGCUGAGGCACGAAAGCGUGGGGAGCGAACAGG
rnacentral:rRNA from 1 species